ACACUAAUAAUUUAUUGCCGGGCCCGCCCAUGAGAAUGCCUGAUGGAAGUAUUACUUUGGUACAGUACAUGGUUUUCAGUUUCACUAGUAUUGUGUAGUAGUACUAUAUUACCUUGGUACAUGCCUUUCACUGGUAAGCAAUAAUGUUAAAUUGCAUUGAGACCCGCAUAGAGGUCGGGGCAAGUACCUACAUGCUACACCUAUGAAUUUACUGGAAAUUGGAUAGGAAACCAAUAGGCAGACUUCAAAGUUGCAUAAGUAAUUAAUU
rnacentral:lncRNA from 1 species